GCUAGCUCAGUCUGCAGAGCACGAGACUCUUAAUCUCGAAGUUAUGGGUUCGAGCCCCACGUUGGGCA
rnacentral:tRNA from 1 species